rnacentral:tRNA from 1 species
GGCGUUGUAGCUCAGUUGGUCAGAGCGGGGUCCUCAUAAGACUCGUCAGUCGUGAGUUCGAAUCUCACCUCCGCCACCA